rnacentral:lncRNA from 10 species
AGUAAUCUGGACUCCAAAAAAUAAACAACACUGGGUGACCAAAUCUCAUAUUACAGGAAAUGCUCAUGCUUUAAAGGGAUCCGUGGACUUUGUACCCUUGCUUGAACUAAGUCAGCGUGACAGGCUGUAAUCCUUCCAAGGGGAAUGGUUUGGGAGGAUUAAUUAAAGGGAUAAUUACCCACUUAACUGUUAGUAUUGGCCUGGUUUUGCUACAAUGUGCACCCCAUUAUUGGAAUGGAUCUCCUCAGUCACUAUGUAACUCACGGAACAAGCCCAAGUCUUUCACGCUAUUGGUGGGUGCCAGGGGUGAACUUUCCCCUCGUGGUGCAGGUGGUAAACAUGCUACCUUACCGCUGAGGCGGGGCAUGGAAGGAUUACUGCCUGUCACAGCUCACUUAGUUCAAGCAGGGGUGCGAAGUCCACAGGCUCACCCCCACCCUUUCUCAGAGAGCUGGUUUCAUAUGGCUGGAUUCUUUUGUCACAGUCUGCAUUUCAUCCUAGGAUUGUCCUGAUUCCCUAAAUGAAUUGUAUUUUUUUGAGACAGGGUCUGGCAGCCUCGAACCCCUGGAGGCUUAGGUGAUCCUCCCACCUCAGCCCCCAAGUAGCUGGGACCACAGGCUCAGCUAAUUUUUACUUUUUUUUGCAGAUAUCAACCUCUCUAUGUUUCCUAGGCUGGUCUCAAACUCCUGGACUCAAGCAAUCCUCCUGCCUUAGCCUCCACAAGUGCUGGGAUUACAGGCAUGAGCAACUGCAUCCGGCUAAACAACCUCUCUUCUUGCAACACUGUUUCCUUGUGAGCUCAUUAACAUGCUAAUUACCACAUUCCACAGGAAGAUGGAUUACAGAGCAAUAAGACAGGCUGGGUUCACCCUGGAACGUGACCAGUAGUGACAGCCUCUAACAAUGACACAGGUACCGUUAUCGAUGCUGGGAGAAGAGAAAAGGACAUCAUUUUGCCCUCAGGGAGCUCAUGGUCUAACGGAGAGAGAGACAUGUGAACAACUACAACGUCUGCGGUCUAAGAAAACACUAAAUUGGAGACGUGUUCAAAGCAGUGCAGGGGAGGGAGCGGAGUGAGACUUCCGGGGUCACCCAGAAGGGCUUCCCGGCAGGUAAGUUGCAGCUAACCCACACAGAUGUUAAUUACAGCAAGAAAAGAUCUUUCACAGUGCUCCCUGUGCGUCAGGCAGGCUAGAGGUCUUGUCAAAAGUAUGGCAUAUGUAUCACAUGCAAAAUGAUUUGAAGUAGAAUGUGGACCAAUUUUUAAUUUUUUACUUAUGCAUCUAAAUGUGCAUUACAAAAAAAUAUAAUGAGAAAACCAAACUUUCACCAAUAUGAUUGCUCAGAGUGAGGCUAAAGGAAUGAGUUUUAAAACUGAUUUGAAUCACAAAUAGUGCUUAGAUGUGGAGAGCAUCUUAAAUGUGGCUUGCCAAUGACUGGAUUUUGGAAAGCACCGAUAUGCGCAUCUUUUUUUUUUUUUUUUUUUUUUUUUUUUUUUUUGAGAUGGAGUCUUGCUCUGUCGCCAGGCUGGAGUGCAGUGGCGUGAUACCGGCUCACUGCAAUCUCCAUCUCCUGGGUUCAAGCGAUUCCCCUGCCUCAGCCUCCCCGAGUAGCUGUGACUCCAGGCACGCACCACUAUGCCCGGCUAAUUUUUUGUAUUUUAGUAGAGACAAGGUUUCACCACGAUGGCCAGGAAAGUCUCGAUCUCCUAACCUUGUGAUCUGCCCACCUUGGCCUCCCAAAGUGCUGGGAUUACAGGCGUGAACCACCGCACCCGGCCACAUGCAUCUUAUUUUAGUGAGAUGAGAUGUAGGAGUUAGCGAGGUAGGGAAAGGGAAGAACAGUAGACACAAGGAACACCAACUCAAAGCACACAGGAGAGAGUGCACGGGCUGCCUGAGAACAGGUGGUGGUGAAGCACGGUGGGCUGCGGGGCACGCGGAGGGCUGGAGGAGUGUGCGGGAGCAGAACCCCUGCUUCUGUGUUCCACUGCCUGUGUAAACUUCUCAGGUCGGUUCCCAUGGUCAUGUCUCUCCAGGAAGUUUCUCAAUGGCACACACCAUGUUACCCUCCCUUAUGUCAAGCUUGUCCAACCCGUGGCCCAGGAUGGCUAUGAAUGCAGCCCAACACAGAUUUGUAAACUUUCUUAAAACAUUAUGAGAUUUUUUUUUUUUUAGCUCAUCAGCUAUCAUUAUUGUAUUUUACAUGGAGCCCAAGACAAUUCUUCUUCUAACACGGCCCAGGGAAGCCAAAAGAUUGGACUUCGCCACUUUAAGAUAAGCGGUUGUUGACUUUAAGACAAAAAAGGACACUUUAUAAUGACUAAAAAAAUCAAUCCAUCAGGAAUACACACCAUUAUAAACAUAAUGUACCAAACAACUGAGCACCAAAACACAUGAAGCAAAAACUGGUAACACUGAAGGGAGAAACAGACAACUUAACAAAAGUAGUUGAAGACUUCAGUGCCCAACUUUCAAUAAUGGACGGAACAGCUAGGCAGAAGAUCAGCAAGGAAACAGAAGGCUGAACAAGCUACACCUACAGACCACUGCAGAACACCCAAUCACAGAACACACAUUCUUCUGAAGAGCACAUGAAACAUUUGCCAGGAAACAUCAAAUGCUAAACCAUAAAACAAGCCUCAAUAAAAUUAAGAGGACUGAUAUCACACACAGUCUGUUCUGUGAUCAAAAUGGAAUGAAAUUAGAAAUCGAUAAUAGAAGGAAAUUUGAGAAAUUCAUAAAUAUGUGGAAAUUAAACAACUCCUAAAUACAAAUGGGUGAAAGAAGAAAUCAGAAAAUUUAACAGUACUUGAAAUAAAUGAAAACACAAUAUACAGAAAUUUAUGGGAUGCAGUGAAAACAGUACGUACAGGGAAAUGUACAGCUAUAAACACCUAUAUUAGCCAGACAUGGUGGCUCAUGCCUGUAGUCGCAGCUACUUGGAAAGCUGAGGCAGGAGGAUCAUUUGAGUCCAGAAGUUUGAGACCAGCCUGGACAACAUAGCAAGACCUCAUUCCAAACCAAAAAAAAAAAAACCCCCAAACCCCAACUAUAUUUAAAAAGAAGAAUGAUCUCAAAUCAGGAAUUGAAACUUCCACUUAAGAAACAGAAAAAAAAAGUAGCAAGCAAAAUCCAAAGUAAGCAGAAAGGAAAUAAUAAAGAUUAAAGCAGAAAUAAAUAAAACAGAAUAGAAAAAAAUCAAGGAAAAUCAAUAAAAGUAAAAAUAGAUUAUUUUAAAAGAUCAACCAAAUUUCUGAACCUUUAGCUAGACUGACCAAUAAAAAGGAGAGAAUGCAAAUUACUAAAGUCGAGAAUAAAAGAGAGAGGCCAGGUACAGUGGCUCACACCUGUAAUCCCAGCACUUUGGGAGGCUGAGGCAGGAGGAUGGAGACCGGCUUGGGCAAGAUAGCAAGACUCCAUCUCUUAAAAAAAAAAGGAAAAUUAGCCAGGCAUGGCUAGGCGUGGUGGCUCAUGCCUGUAAUCCCAACACUUUGGGAAGCUAAGGUGGGAGGAUCACUUGAGGCCAGGAGUUUCAGACCAGUGUGGGCAACAUAGUGAGAUUGCCUAAGGAGGUCAAGGCUGCAGUCAAGCUAUGAUUGAACCACUGCACUCCACCCAGAAUGACAGAGUGAGACUCUGUCUCAAAAAAAAAAAAAAGGCGGGGGGGCGAGGGAGGCCAAGGCAGGAGGAUUACUUGAGGCCAGGAGCUCAAGACCAGGCUGGGAAACAUAGUGAGACCCUAGCUCUACAAAAAAGUAAAACAAAAAUGAGCUGGGCGUGGUGGCUUAUGCCUGUAGUCCAGCUACUCAGGAGGCUGAAGCAGGAGGAUCACUUGAGCCCAGGAAUUCGGGGCUACAGUGAGCCAUGAUCAAGCCACUGAUUUCUAGCCUGGGUGACACAGCAAGACCCUGUCUCUAUAAAAUAACAACUAAGAAAGAAUAAAAGAGAGGGAAUCAAUGCUGACCUUACAAUAAUAAAAGGGAUAAUAGGGGAAUCGUUUAAAUUGUAUGCCAACAAAUCCAAUAACUAAGAUGAGAUGCAGAAAUUCCUACAAAUAAACAAACUAUCGAAAAACUUUCCACAAAGAAAAUGUCAGACACAGACGGUUUCAAUUGUAAUUCCACCAAAUGUUUAAAGAAUUAAUACAAAUUCUUCACAAACUUUUCCAAAAAUAGAAGAUGGAACAUUUCUAACUCAUUCUGUGAGGGGCCAAUAUAUUCUGAUGUUAAAACCAGACAAAGACAUCACAAUAAAACUGCAGAUCAAUAGCCCCUAAAAAAUAAAGAUGAAAAAAUCCUCAACAGAGUACUAGCAAUCCAAUUCCAGCAACUUUUUUUUUUUUUUUUGGAGAUGAAGUCUUGCUUUGUCGCCAGGCUGGAGUGCAGGGGCGCAAUCUUGGCUCAC